AGAGUUUGAUCCUGGCUCAGGACGAACGCUGGCGGCGUGCUUAACACAUGCAAGUCGAGCGGAAAGGCCCUUCGGGGUACUCGAGCGGCGAACGGGUGAGUAACACGUGAGUAACCUGCCCUUGGCUUUGGGAUAACCCUCGGAAACGGGGGGCUAAUACCGGAUAUUCACUUCCUGUGGCAUCAUGGGUUGUGGAAAGUUUUUCGGCCUGGGAUGGGCUCGCGGCCUAUCAGCUUGUUGGUGGGGUGAUGGCCUACCAAGGCGACGACGGGUAGCCGGCCUGAGAGGGCGACCGGCCACACUGGGACUGAGACACGGCCCAGACUCCUACGGGAGGCAGCAGUGGGGAAUAUUGCACAAUGGGCGGAAGCCUGAUGCAGCGACGCCGCGUGAGGGAUGAAGGCCUUCGGGUUGUAAACCUCUUUCGACAGGGACGAAGCGCAAGUGACGGUACCUGGAGAAGAAGCGCCGGCCAACUACGUGCCAGCAGCCGCGGUAAGACGUAGGGCGCGAGCGUUGUCCGGAUUUAUUGGGCGUAAAGAGCUCGUAGGCGGCUUGUUGCGUCGGCUGUGAAAACCCGCAGCUCAACUGUGGGCUUGCAGCCGAUACGGGCAGGCUUGAGUUCGGUAGGGGAGACUGGAAUUCCUGGUGUAGCGGUGAAAUGCGCAGAUAUCAGGAGGAACACCGGUGGCGAAGGCGGGUCUCUGGGCCGAUACUGACGCUGAGGAGCGAAAGCGUGGGGAGCGAACAGGAUUAGAUACCCUAGUAGUCC
rnacentral:rRNA from 1 species